GGUGCACAUGGUUUUGCUUGAAUUUUGACUUAUUUCAACAUCUGAAAUAGCAAAAUUACUUGUGUUUAGCACAAAUCUUCUACAAGAUGAUGCAUACCUUGUCCGCAAUUGCAACGAAAGAUUCUCGCUGGUAGGGUUUGCAAGGUGAAGGAUUACAUAUGCCACAAACCUUGUCCGCAAUUGCAACCGAAGAUUUUUGGAUGAACCGCAAGAUGAUCGGAUGAAGGCUUUCAGUUGUCCAGGCCAGGCCAGGUGACCAAUGACGAUGAUAGAUUGGGUUCGAUUCAAGCUAUACGCUUGGUGUAUUUGGUUAUCGUGACUGGCGACUUGAGUCUAUCUCAUCUCAUGUCCAAAGCGCGGUGGCUGGGUCCCAGGCAUGCUUGCCUCUUUGUUCCACGGUCCUCAUCUAAGUUUCGACGGUGAUGACAUGGACUUAGGUUCAAGGAACGUGUUCCCCUUGAGUCAUUGUGGUUGAUUGAUGGGGCAAUUAAUGGUUGCGUGUCGCUAGUCAUUCAAUUGGUCCCCUUGUUUUAGAGUGUUGGCGGGAUAAGUCUUACGACUGUUAACAAUAGUAAGCAAUAGCUGGCCAGCGAUCCCCUACCUGAUCUCGAGGGGGAUGGAAUGACUGGGGUUAGAGGCCUGUUGUUAACCUGCAGAAUUUCGUCGGACGAAAUGUCAGGCGUGUCCGUGUGGGUCUUGUGCUAAACCAGUUUAGUACUAAUGACGAAGACAUUGGGUUCUUUGAAUAACAACAGUGUUCUCAACCUCCUUGUGCCUCACAAAGCUAACAUAUAUACCCGCUGAAAUCGACAAGACGGCGAUGAAGAAGGAGAGCCGGCCUCCAGCUCGAGAGCCGAGAAGACACUGGAUGGACCUGAAGAAUAUGUUGCUGCCAAUGUUGGAGCCAUACAGGGCAGCCCGAGCCAACAUUGUACAAGGGCCACAAGGACAAGGACCAUAAGGACAAGGGACACAAGGACAAGGGACACAAGGACAAGGGACACAAGGACAAGGGACACAAGGACAAGGGACACAAUAACAAGGGAUACAAAAGACGAUGUUGCAGUCUACAGGCCCUCUGCAGAUUGAGAUGAUGGCUGUCGAGAAGACCCAACCACUCAACCAAGAUCUGCAAUUCGUGCUAUGGUAGAUGUGACUCUCAAAGGUUUUGGAUGACGAAGGAAUCCAACGCAUAUAUGUCGCUCACAGAUACGGGCAGACGACUGAGAGUCGAGUGGAUUUAUUGGAUCGAAUGGUUGCGCUGAGGAAUAUCCAUGUGCAGGAGUGACGAACCACAGUUCAGCAAACGAUGCCUUGACAGACCAAUUCAAGGAGAACUUUCGCUAAGAUCAGGAAGGGAACGUGUUUGCUGUGUGGAUGGAUUGGAUACUUAAAUGUCCGUCAUUCUAAUAGACUAAAAUGACAAUCUUCUAAUAGACUCUAAUGACAAUCUUACUCCAAAGGGACUCUCUGGACUUAGGGAAAGCUACGGACAUAGAGCCCGGACAUGAUAUCCUGCAGCCACCACGAGGACAGCCUAUCUCAUACCUUCGGAAGGAUGCCAUCACACGCAUGAUGAGCCAUCCCACAGAAGGGAGAAGGAUGUUGCUGAUCCAGCACAUCCCAACCAUGCUCCCAUCGCCGUCAAGUAACAGUACGACGGUUAGAUUGUAUUUUGUCACCGUAGGCUUUAUCAUUUUAUCAAAAUAUCUGAUUGAAAGGUGAUUUAAUAAAAAUUCAAAUUUUUCUGAUGGUGAAAAGGCAAAUAUUUGCCUUGCUUAUGACAAGCAUAGAUUAUUUUAAUCCAUGUUUGGUUCAAAAUCUCACACUUUUCAAAGAAGGAAUGAAAUUAUGGGGGGUUGGGUUGUUUCUGGCUAACAAGGUAGCCAAUGAUAAGGCACGACAGAACCCAAACAAAAUAAUUUUCAAGCUUAAUUUUGUGCUUAAGAUAAGAAGAAACAACAAUUUGGGGAGGGAUGGGUUGUUUGUGGCUACGAGAGGAAUCAACAGCAGCCUUGGGCAUAUGAGGACCCUGAAAUUCUUUUCAGGCAAAAGUUAUUAUUCUGCUUAAAAAUCACCGAAUUCAUCAGAUAUUUAAUUACUGGUAUAUCCAUCACUUUAGACAUGGGGUCCAUGUGUUUUUGUAUCGCUGACCCCACGAAACAAGAACACAUGUGUCUGAUGGAACCGUAGGCCUUUCAUUCUGUUUCUCAAUCUCAUCAGUACCACAGAAUUAACUGACAUGGCCUGGGCUCCGAUGCCCUGGACCUUACCUCACACUGGCUGGAUCAGUUGCUCAGUACAUGUACCUUCAUGCUCGAGACAACAGACCAACAGUGAUAAGUUGAAUUUGAAUUACCUCCCUCUUGAAAUACCAAAACAUCUUUCCAAUUGAACUAAAACAGUUUGAUAAACUCUCACUGUUUUAUUGAAAUUUAAAGACUGGUCCUUCCCUAGUGGUCACACAGUGAGCCGUUGUCAAAGCGUGUCAUUCGACAAUGGUGGCAUGCAUGCAUGUUUUGUUACGGCUACCGGGGACCCUAAAUUUUUGAUGAUGAUGUUCUCCAUGAGUACAUCUCCUUGGAUAAUUUUGGACUUGGUACUGAAUUGAUUGAGAAAAGUGUAAUUUAAAAACGUCAACUUUCAGACGUUUUAAAAUGUUUGUCCUGUAUGAAUGUAUUUGUAAAUCCUGUUUGUAAAUAUUUGAUAUUUGAUUAAAUGUCUAAAUGAGAUCUAGACUCCAUGACUUUGCAAAAAAGUAUGGCAAAGCCAAAUUUUAAUCUUUGCCCUGUCAGGGUCACCUCUUUUGUCAUGCAAAUGACAUGUCAGAACUGCUCCUUUUGUCAUGCUAAGUGGCAGCCAGCUCUGUCCAGUGGCCAUGACAAAUAUGGUUCCUUUGUUAUUCAAAUUGGGUCCUGCAAAUCAACAGCAGUGACCAAACCUAUUGUAAGCUCACAUGGCUCACCUGAAGGCAUGAACAAUAGAUUUUAAUACAAUAGCUAUUCAUGUAUUAUAAACAUUAUGAAUGAAUGAAACUCAAACCAUUGUGUGGAGUAGUUGAGUCUAUUGUGUUUGAUCUCAAUUUAGCAUUGUGUUGCAAGGACACUUAUCAGUGUUUCUUUGUGACAUCUGGUUAAGAAGUUGACCAUGUGUUAAAGGGAUAGUGCUACUGUCCUAUCUCCUGGUCCUCUUCUUGUAUGGGGCUUUCGGAGUGGUGCAGCAAAAAAUAAUGUAUUACGAUCAUUGUGUAAACUAUAAUGUACAAUGUAUUAAGUCAUUUCAAUCAUAAGCACCUGUCACCUGUGUGAUGGAGAUGGCGACUCCCUCCGAUUGCGUAGGUUUUCUCCCGGUAUGCGGUUUCCUCCUACACAACAUUCUAAUUCGUCAUGUGUCUUCCUUAGAAUGUAAAACAAUAAAGGUUUUUUUG